GCUGGGACAAUGAUGAAGGAAUCACAUUGCUGCAGCAGACUGCAUCUCUCAUGUUUAAUUUUCGUUUAAUUCCUGAGGAAGGCAGAGGCUCAAAGGAAUGACUCACCCUCACGCUCAUCCUUCAGAAACACUCUUGCCGACCCCUCGGACGCCAAAUCCUGGAAAUACCUUUAUUUUUCACUUUCCUGAGUUCAUCAUCUUUCACAGGGUGUUUAUUGAUCAGAAGCAAUGCUCAUCUGGGGUUCAGCCACGAAGCGGUGUUUCAAACCAGGCAAAGAGGUACAAGGUGGACAUUUCCAGCCUGUUCAUCUGAACUGAUUCAACUGUCGUCAUCUUCGUGCCCGGAGAGAACAGUAAGCCCUCUUCCCUCCUCCUCUCUUACUUGCUCUAUGUCACAGAAGUACAGUUAACAAAUUAAGGUAUUUCAUCUGUGUUAAGCAGAAACACUUUUGUCAUCUCAGUCAAGAAAUGAACUAAUGUUAAGUGAUGGAAAGUUCUGAAUAAUAAGAACAGUUUAGUUGGGUUCAACAUGAGGUUAUAACAAAGUUGAAGUAAUGGGGAAAUUGAAACUGAAUAUGCUUAAAUGACUUUCCACAGUUGUUGGGUUUUUUGUUUGUUUUUUAAUUAACUAUAAGUAACAAUAUGCAAAGGUCAUCUGGAAACAAAGACAGUAUGUUUUUAAUGGUCAAGAAUUUGACAUCCAGUUUGAAAUAAUUAACCCUUAUGGUAGGAGUUUCCCUAAAGUCUCAAAACACACAUAAAACAUUCUCACCGUGUUGCACUGAUUACGACCAGAAGAUGAUUUAUUAUGCUGAUUUUAGUUCAAUAUGAACUGGAAAACCUAAAGAAUUUCGGGUUUACUUGAGGACAGAGAGUACAUAACAUCCCACUAAUCUUUCACAGUAUGAUUUUGCUUCGGGGAAGGAAGCUGGCUAAAAUGUACAUGCCAAGUUCAAGACUUUAAGGAGGACUGAGACCUAAUUCGCUUUAUUUCUUCCUAAUGGAAGAUUUGUCAUUGAUAUAGAAGGUAAUGAUUGAUUUUUUUCAAGUUCUGGUUAUUGGUGCUUCUUAGACCAUAGGUUCAUUUAUUCAUCAGAGAUUAGGAAGCACCUACUAUGUUCAAGAGAACAUACAUAUAAAUUUAAGAACCCAUUGUUGAAUCCUUUCUUAUACUUUUAUUAUUUUAUGAUUAGGUAAUACUUUUUGGCUUUCCCAUACUUUUGUUAGACUUUUUGAACGGACUUUUGUUACAGUGAUAUUUCUAGCCACUGACAAACAAGUUGCUUUGUUCUCACAACUUUUCAUCUGGCAUUAAAUGUCGUUGCCCAAAAGAUUAUACGAUAUUGUAUUUUUAAUUCAAGCCCAAAUUAUAGCAUCUUAAAUGAAAUUAGAGCCAAGUCCCACUGGUAUUUGAAAGUGGCAAUUCAUGAUUUCUCCAUAUUAUGUAUUCCAGCAUUUUUUUCUGUUUUCCCAACCUGUUCUGCCGACCGGUUUCCAAUUCUGAACCACGUCUUCAAGCAUGAUUCUCCAGGAAAUUUCAUACAAUUGGGAAAUAUUCUCUCUAUUUCGGAAACAAAUAGCAGCUAAUUUGAUAACAAAUCAUGGCGGAAAUGCAAAGUGUACAUUCAUUUCCCCAAAUCUGACCUUUCUUUCCCGCAAAACUACAGCGAAGAAAUCCCAUUCGUGGAUUUCAUCUCUGUCAGAACAAAAAUAUCGAAUUGCCUCCUCUCUGAAAUCUGCAUUUAUCAAUUAUGGCUUUCUCCAGGAAAUUCUAAUUUGCAAAAAUGCUCUAUAUCCCAAGCUUUAACAGUUGGAGGUAGAUGUCCUUAAGGAUGGGGAGGGGGGGGAAGUUCUUUUUCAAAUGGCACAUUUACUAAUUAUAAAAUGCUCUUAUCUCUUUGCGGCCAAAGCCAAAAUGAACAUGUGCCUCGUACUAAGAAAUCCCAGGAUUGUCACAACCCGUGCCAGCUGUUGAGGUUAUGACACCUGUGCCAGCUUCGCCAGCUCUGCCCACUGUCAUCUGCUCCAACUGCUCCAUCUGCACUGUUUGUACCAAUUCUCCCAUUUCUGCAUCUGUACCUUCUGCAGAGACGUUUCCAACAAUGCCAGCUGUGUCAUUGGUGCCAAAUAUGCCAGAUGUUCUAUUUGUCCACCCUGGGCCAAAUCAAUGCAGUUCUGUGCUCAUUAGUUUUAGCUGGUAGAUUCUAUUUUACAAUUUUUUGAGACGUAUUUAGAUGGAAUCCAGGCAAAAAUCCCCCUUACAACCAUUUCACAUCGCGCUCUCCAAUCUUUUUUGCCACUGCAACUUUAUCUAGCAACAUAAAGUUGGUCAAUGUCCUCUUGAUCAUAUUAAACUCAUUCUCAGUAACCAGUUCAGCGUUCAUUGUGGCAGGGCCUUUCCUGUAUAGAAGAAAAUAUCGCAGAAGCUGUGGGACACAACAAUAAAUUGGCGAGCUAAUUAAAAAAGAAUAACUUCGUUCAGAUAAACAAAUUGAGAAUGUGCAAAAAUCAAUAUGUCUAGCCGAUUAGAGUAAUCUAUGGCAUAAUGUUCUAUUAGGCUGUCUGUUUAUUGGUCUUUAAUUGACAGAGUUACACAUGUGGAUUGAUGUGUGUGUCAUCCAUUCCCCUUCUCUGGGUUAGGGUUAGUAUUAACCAAGGAUGCAUGCAGGGGUAGGGCCAGGCUGUUGCACUGGCCACUUACUGAUGGAAGGAAGCAAGGUCAGGAGCUUAUGCUUUGGCCAGAAGCUAACUCUCUCUCUUCUCUCAAAUGUCAAUUCUACCAGUGCCAACACAAACCAUUCUUUGGAUAAGAAUGUGCUUUCAUCUGUAAGGUUGAAAAACAACAAAAAAAGUAUUUUCAUACUCAAAAGCUCAGUAUUCUAUAUCAUUGCAAACCCAAAAGUAGUGUUUUCCUCUUCUCUUCUCUUUUUUCUUUUCUGUUCUCAUUUAGGAAGGCCUUUCUUAAGGAGCACUAACACUUAAUCUCCAAACUUUACACCAGAUUCUUUCCUCUCAAAUCAUUUUCAGAUAUGGAGGAUGAACCCAGAGUCUGUCAUAUGAAAAUUGAUGCUUUACUAAGGAAUGUGAGGUCCAGAGGACAUCACACUACCUCCUGUUUAUUCAACUUGGAUUAUUUAACCUGCUGUUUCCAAUGAUGAAAGUUGUAACCAUUCACCAGUGCUUCUAAGCAUUAAUGGCAACGUUCUUGACAACAGAUAAAAUGGCUCACGAUUACAUCCAAACAUUUGUACUCAGUCUAUGCAUGAGGCAAGGUACAGUGAGGAGAUGUCUCAACAGCUUUAUGAGGUUUCAAACUCCACGCAGUAAACACUAAGCUUCCACAGGGAAUUAACAAAUUACCCUAAAACAAAUGAAUCUGUCUAGGUCUUAGGCUAAAAAUCCUAGUGACCUCAUUUCUUCCCAGACAAGGGUCUGUAGGCUGAGAGUCCAGACACACAUGGGCAAUGGUUUCAGGACAUGCCAGUAUUCCUGUAUGGGUAAAAUACCCUCGAUUCAAUCAUACUUUCCCCUUAUGGGGUCAGUGAUCAUUUCUCAGUAUCCCGAGUCCUUCACUCUCUUACCCAAAUUUCAUUUGUUUCUGAUCUUUUCACUCCAUACCUUUUUAUAAUCUUCCCUGAACGUAGAGAGGAGACUGAAUGAACAUUGAUUAAGUAAAAUGGUGGCUUUCUAUCAAAAUAUGCCCAAGUUCCUAACUUGAGAGAUCAAGUCUGAGUCUGCUGACCCUACUUCUAGAAAUGCCACAGACUUUUUUUAUUCUAAUUCCCUAUGUUCCAAGAUGCCAAGAGGGAACAUCCGUAAUUAGGAUGAAAAUAGUUUUAUGAUUCGUUGGGAGUGUACCCUGUAUCUUCCCAGAACAUUUUAAUUAAUAUAACUUCUGCUCCCUGCUGACAAAGAUGUUUCCGAUGGUGUUUUGGCCCAACAUAUUUACCGCCUUCAUUGAUGUGAGUCAUUUGAAUACUUGGAGGAAUCCAUAAACUUCAAGGUUUCAUGUAAAAUACAGAAUCGAGUGUCACGAGUGCCACGGAGGCAUACACAGCUAAGAAUAUUUUUCAUCGCCUAUCAGGCCUUUUGUUUUUAAUAUGGUGACCAUGAGAACAUUCAGAUCUGCUGGUAAAGAAUAGAAAACCACACAUUUCAAAGACACGCAGACAAAAAGAUCCAAAUGACUUUGAAAUUUGCUCUCAUGACAGUUAGCUUCCCCUUUAGAUAGUUGUUUCUCUGGAAUGAGUAAGUCACCAUGGACUUACUGUGCAUUGAUCUCCUAGCCACUUGGAGUAAACAGAGCACCUUGGACCUCUUAAAUUUCUUGACUACGUUUCUACUACUUCCUCAAUCCCACUGUCCACACUUUCAAUUUUGGAAGAACACAAAUCCUAAUGUAGUUCCCUCAUCAGUAGGAGCAUCAGUACACUCUGACUCUUUAAAUCACAAGUACACUAGCAGCUAUGACAGCAAUAUUGAGGAAAAUGCUAUCAAAGAUGGCAAUAACCACACUGAGGGGCCAUGGCUCCAUCAGCACUAUUGCUGUCAUUUUCACGACCUGAUUACUUAUUUUCAGGAAAAUGACAUUGUUUGACUCACUAAUGUUCCAAGCCUUAUAUUCAGUUCCUAAAUAGUCCCCGAACUCCAGGGCUAAUACACGUAGGUGAGCUAUCCACACCUAGAAGUGAAGACUGUCAAAAUGUCAAACAGUUUGAGGAAGUAGGGAAAGAGGGUAAUAGAAAACAAAGCAAGGCAAGGACAGAAAAGAAUAAAUCACUGCACCAAACCAGUAAGAUAAACGGAUAGAAGUGGGUUGUCUUGGUUGGAAACAGGAGAACAGAGAUCAUUAGUACAGACCCACUAAUCCAAUCAGAAAACAGGUGCUCAGAGCAUAUCCGAGCUCACACAACUUAUUAAUGGCAAAAUCAAGUGCAGAGAAAACCUAUCUUCAGGUUCGUCAUGUGUAAACUGUAAAAUACAGAUGAUAGUAAUUGUAUGGAACCCAAAGAGUUUUGAAGAUUAAGUGCGUCAAUUGGCAGAAAGAAUUGACAACAGGGUCUGACAGACAGUAAACACUGUGGGUUAGCCCUCCUCCUCCUCAUGAUUAGGAUACUUGGAUCUGUGGGAUUUUUAUUCUCUUAUAUCAUACAAGCUGUAUCUAGGAUACGGCGGCUGUAUCAGCCCUGAUGCUGAGACUUCAGCAUCAAUUUAAAGUCACACUUUUGAGUCGCUUGGGUGGCUCAGUCAGUUAAAUGUCUGGCUCUUGAUUUUGAAUCAGGUCAUGAUCUCAUGGUUCCUGGGUUCAAGCCCCAUGGUCGGGCUCUACGCUGACAGCACAGAAGCUUCUUGGGAUUCUUUCCCUCCUUCUCUCUGCCCCUCCCCGCUCACGAGCGUGCGCUCUCUCUCUCAAAAUAAAUUUUAAAAAAUAAACAUUUAAAAAAAUACAUAAAUCAUCUUAUUUCCAGGUUUGUAGCUGGACCAUCAAAUUUGUAUUACAAAAAAGGAAGCUGGAAUGAGACUCUGAAGUUAAGCAAUGACCCAACUGUUUUCUGUAUCCUACCUGGCACACAAUGUAGAUAUGUAGUCAAUGCAGAGAACACGGAGGUGCCCAUAUGAAUGGAAGGAAGCAAAGGCAUGAUUAAUCUAGACUAAGAGAGGCCACAGCAACAGCAAUAUUUGGCUUCAGGAAGAAAACACAUCUCAGUCAGUAGCGUGUUCACACAUUCUCAUGCAGAUACUUCCCAGUUAUCUCUUUGGAGCUAACCACAGGUAAUGGGUGUGGAGGAUUGCUUGCAACCACCAGAAGCUAGAAAGGCAAGGGAGGAUCUUCCCUAGCGCCUUAAGAAGGCACAUGGCUCUGUAGACACCUGGAAUUGGGACUUGGAGCUUCUAGAACUGUGAGAGAAUACAUUUCUGUGGUCUUCAGAAAUGCAUUCUAGGGUGUUUUAUUGCUGCAGCUCUGAGAAACUAACACAGCUUCCUUUCCCUAAAUGUGGAUCAUUAGAUGUGUCUCUAAUACAGGACCCAGGUCCUUGCUGAGCAAUAGAAAGAAUAAGACCGCAGGGAUUCCAGAAGAAAAAUGCCAUUCCAAAUGGAACCAGUUAACCAUGUCCAGAAAUUAGGAGGAGAAGACAGGAAGGAAAUUAUAGUAGUUACAUAAUAAAAUGAGUGUCUCAUAUUUGUAAAGCACUUUAGACUUCCAUUUUUUACUAUCAAUCACCAGGGUGGGCAAUGCUAGACCAACUGAAUCAGAACCUCUUAGGAAUAAAGACCCAGAAGUGUGUGUUUUGAAGAGGCUCACCAGGCUAUCCAGAUGCACCAGGAGAGUUAAGAAACCACUUUGUAAGCCCAGUAGUGCUCUUUUCUCUUCAUUAAAGCAGCCUCAUAACAGAGACAUUUAAAUACAUUUAAAUUAAUUAUUUAGAACUUCAGAAUGCUGAGCUUUAAAUGCAAAAUGUUACUUCAUGAAAAAGGUUUGGAUCAAACUGGGUUAACUUGUCCUUUCUUGGCUUCUGCUUUCAGACUCAUCUCUUGCCUCACGGCAAUACGUUCAAGUUGGACUGAAUCACAAAAGCCAGAGAUAGAACAUUAGCUCCUGAGUUUGCUCCAUAUGCUCCUGUAGGAGUUUGCCUUGUAGUUAACCUCGUUACAACUCAAGAUCCAUCAUAACAAGUGCUGGGAUGCCUGAUGCAGACAGAAACAUGUUAGAGAUAAGUCACUGUGCUGGCAUUUAGGGCGACUGCAAAUACAUGAUGAUACCUAAACCCUGUUCAUUGUAUCCUAAGUAUGAAUCCACAGUGGGUUGGACAUACACUAGGUAGCUUUUCGUGGUUUUUUUGUUUGUUUUAGAGAGACAGUGUGCGUGCACAAGCAGGAGAGAGGAACUGAGUGAGAGGGAGAGAGAGAGAGAGAGAGAGAGAGAGAGAGAGAAUCUCAAGCAGGCUCCACACUCAGUUCAUAGCCCAUUGUGGGGCUUGAUCCCAUGAACCUGGGAUCAUAACCUGAGCCAAAAUCAAGAGCUGGACGCUCAACUGACUGAGCCACCCAGGCACCCCUAGAUAGCUUUUUUCAAGAAAACACUUCAAAUUGUAUGUAAAACACAUUUUUAUGCACGGAAGCAGAGUUUCCCAACCUGUGACAAUGGUACACUUGUGUGACCCAGGUGGCUCAUGGAUGCCAAGAUGGCGAUACCUUCAUCUUGGGGCAGCCAGAGCUUUUGAGCUAGUUGCCUUCAGACAUUAGCAGCCUCACCCCAUUGGCCAUACACAUAUUACCAUUUUCCAUACGUGCCAUGACACAAAGAAUGUUGUAGAACCAAACAGCACAAGCCAAGUGCUGGGGCAGCACUCGCUAGACAUCUAGAUUCCAUGGGCCAGUAACAUUAAGAAGAAAAAAACAUAGAAGAAACUAUGUGGAGUUCCCAAGUUUUUAUUUUGGAUGUUAAUACAACACAAGUAUUAUCCUUGGCUAUAAUUUUAUAAAGGAAAAGGGAGUGUUGAGCUGUUUGUUUCCAAAAUAUUCACAUUUUAAAGUAGCUCACAUCAUGCAAGAGAGCACAGUUCAAACAUGUAGUGCUAAUAAAAUGCUUUAUCAAGAGUAAUUGAGUCUUCUCUGCCUGCUUUUUAUUUUUUAAGUUUUCAGUCCUAUUGAAAAGCUGAAAUAACAUUGCAAUGAAUAUCCAUCCCCUGAAUUCUUUAAAUUAUCCACAUUUGCUUUAUCUCUACCUUUUCUUUCUGCAGAACCAUUUGAAAGUUACGACGUCAUGCUGCUUCGCUCCUGAGUACUUUGUCCUGAAUCCAUAAGAAAAAAAAUUCUCUGAGGCUCUGGAUGGCUAAGUCUGUUAAGCGUCCGACUCUUGAUUUCAACUCAGGUCAUGAUCUCGUGGUUUUUUAGUUCGAGCUCUGCAUCAGCUCUGUGCUGACCGUGUAAAGCUUGCUUGGGAUUCUCUCUCUCUCCCUCUCUCUCUGCCCCUCCCUUGCUUGCAUGCGAGUGUUCUCUCUCAAAAUAAAUAAAUAUAAAUUUUUUUUAAUUCUCCAAAACAGCAACAGUACUGUUGUCCCAUGAAAGUUAACAAGAAUUCAAUGUCAC
rnacentral:lncRNA from 1 species